rnacentral:misc_RNA from 1 species
GAUGAAGAACGUAGCGAAAUGCGAUAAGUAGUGUGAAUUGCAGAAUUCAGUGAAUCAUCGAAUCUUUGAACGCACAUUGCGCCCCCUGGUAUUCCGGGGGGCAUGCCUGUCCGAGCGUCAUUGCUGCCCUCAAGCACGGCUUGUGUGUUGGGCCCCGUCCUCCGAUCCCGGGGGACGGGCCCGAAAGGCAGCGGCGGCACCGCGUCCGGUCCUCGAGCGUAUGGGGCUUUGUCACCCGCUCUGUAGGCCCGGCCGGCGCUUGCCGAUCAACCCAAAUUUUUUAUCCAGGUUGACCUCGGAUCAGGUAGGGAUACCCGCUGAACUUAAGCAUAUCAAUAAGCGGAGGA